ACAAAGCCUACAUGUCUUCAUUUUGCUGAAGGUAAGGAAUUCUCAGUUGUGUUUAAUGUUUGCAUACGUACAAUAAAUUUUGUACACCUAAGUGGUUACAUACUGUCCUUUAAUAUUAAUUCUUCAUUCCAGACUGCCCAUCAUCCUAGCCUGUUAUCUGUGAUAAAGCACACUGAAGUUAGGUUUGGAAUGCAUCCUUAUCAUGAAUGCUCUACACCUCCACCUCCAUCUCCCACAACCUAGGUAACAGCUUUGAGACUCACUAAAAGUUGAGUCCCCUGAAUGAUGUAGGCUAUGGGGCCACAUAAGACUUUGUGCAUCCAGGGUUACAUAGAACGACAACUUUAAACUAAAAAACCAACAUUUUUCACACAACUCCAGGUUGUUACUAACAAAUUACAAGUGUCAUCAAGGGAUAACUACAAGUAGAAGCACCAUUUUUGGAUGGAAAAAACCCUUCAGGAAAGUAUACGUAUCAAAUGUAACAUGUAGUGUAACAAAGUAUGAACAGUAAGGUUUUUACAUACAGUAGUAUUACAUACGUACAUAACUUUUUUUUACAGAAAUUUCCAACCAAGUUUGAUUAUGUACAUAAAUGUUAUAAACCACUGUAUGUAUGGUUACUGUAUGUAACUUACUAAACAUACAUACAUGACUUAACUUUAAUACUUUUUUGGUACAUUCCAGAAAACCAGGACCCCCUCCAUGAUGCAGGCUAUGGGGCCACAUAAAACUUUGUCCAGGGUUACUACUACAUAACAUAGCACGACAACAGUAAACUACUACAGUACUAAAGAACCCCCUGAAUGAUGUAGGCUAUGGGGCCACAUAAGACUUUGUGCAUCCAGGGUUACAUAGAACGACAAAUUUAAACUAAAAAACCCCCUGAAUGAUGUAGGCUAUGGGGCCACACAAGACUUUGUGCAUCCAGGGUUACAUAGAACGACAAAUUUAAACUAAAAGUAAGGAAUUAAUUCACAUACAUUAACUUUCUUACUCUUGAUAUAACUCAAAGUAAGGAAUUAUAAACUAAAAGUAAGGAAUUAAUUAACAUACAUUAACUCUUUUACUCUUGAUAUCUAUAAUUUACAUAUUGCAUUCAGGACUUUGUGUAGUAUUUUGUACUAAUUGUGUUAUACUUUUACCUUCCAGAGCUACCAGACUGGGAUUUUAGUGUACUCCAGGAUGUACUACCAAAGGAUUAGUACAGUGUAAUAGUGUAUAGUGUAUAAUCUAACCUAAGGAUUAAGUGUAUUAGUGUAUGUAUAUUAAAGUCAACUAAGGACUUGGUAAUACUUCAAGAUUGUGCUUUAUAGUGUCACAAGAGUAUAAUAAAGAAUAUAUACCUUCAAGAACCAUCCUUUGGCAUUGAAAUAACCACACUACACAUCAUGCAAUACUUGCAUGUCACACAGGUAAGGUCUCUUUAACUUGUUAUUAGUUUAAGGCAUAUUUCCAAGUGUUGUUCCGGCUUACGACGAUUUUCGGCUUACGAAGCGCCUCAAGAACGGAACCCCUGUCGUAACCCGGGGACUGCCUGUAUCGUGAUAUGCAAAUUUGUUCAAAAAUGAUAAAGCUACAACCAUGAGUUAUUUUUUGUUGUAUUCUACAUAAAAUUGCACACAUUUUCAUAUAUAAAACUCUGUGUAACAGCUAAUAUAAAACGGUGUAAAAGUUAUGACAAUGUGACUCAAGCAUUUUGGAGAUUUGGGGCCGAGAUACAGCGUGGAGGGAAGGAAAAAGUUUUUUUGAAAAUUCACCAUAAAUCAGAAUAUUGUGCUAGAGACUUCCAGUUUGUUGCAAAAGGAAGGUAA